rnacentral:snoRNA from 1 species
AUAAAUAUAAAAUAUAUCUAUAAAAUAUAAAAAUAUAAAAAAUACUUUCAAAAGUAUAUGUUUAUCCAUGAGGAGGAUCCUUAGCGUCCUCCUCUGAGCGUGAUGCCAGCUCUUGGUGUCGCGUUUGUGUGACUGCCACUUGCCAUUGAUGAUCAGUCUCCUGUAGGAGAGGAAGAGGGGGAGGAUGCAGUCUGAGUGG